GACGAACGCUGGCGGCGUGCUUAACACAUGCAAGUCGAACGGAAAGGCCCUGCUUUUGUGGGGUGCUCGAGUGGCGAACGGGUGAGUAACACGUGAGUAACCUGCCCUUGACUUUGGGAUAACUUCAGGAAACUGGGGCUAAUACCGGAUAGGAGCUCCUGCUGCAUGGUGGGGGUUGGAAAGUUUCGGCGGUUGGGGAUGGACUCGCGGCUUAUCAGCUUGUUGGUGGGGUAGUGGCUUACCAAGGCUUUGACGGGUAGCCGGCAUGAGAGGGUGACCGGCGACAUUGGGACUGAGAUACGGCCCAGACUCCUACGGGAGGCAGCGGUGGGGAAUAUUGCACAGUGGGCGGAAGCCUGAUGCAGCAACGCCGCGUGCGGGAUGACGGCCUUCGGGUUGUAAACCGCUUUCGCCUGUGACGAAGCGUGAGUGACGGUAAUGGGUAAAGAAGCACCGGCUAACUACGUG
rnacentral:rRNA from 1 species